rnacentral:rRNA from 1 species
GAUGAACGCUGGCGGCGUGCUUAACACAUGCAAGUCGAACGAAGCACCUCUCCCGAUGCUUGACACAGCUUGCUGUAGAUGGAUUCAUUUGAGGUGACUGAGUGGCGGACGGGUGAGUAACGCGUGGGUAACCUGCCUCAUAGAGGGGGACAACAGUUGGAAACGACGGCUAAUACCGGAUAGUAAGAAGAAUUCGCAUGGUUUCUUCUUGAAAGAUUUAUCGCUAUGAGAUGGACCCGCGUCUGAUUAGCUAGUUGGUAAGGUAACGGCUUACCAAGGCGACGAUCAGUAGCCGGCUUGAGAGAGUGACCGGCCACAUUGGGACUGCGACACGGACCAAACUCCUACGGGAGGCAGCAGUGGGGAAUAUUGCACAAUGGGGCAAACCCUGAUGCAGCGACGCCGCGUGAGUGAAGAAGUAUUUCGGUAUGUAAAGCUCUAUCAGCAGGGAAGAUAAUGACGGUACCUGACUAAGAAGCCCCGGCUAACUACGUG